CGCGUGGGAAUAUGCCCAAUGGUACGGAAUAGCCUCUGGAAACGGAGAGUAAUACCGUAUGUGCCCUUCGGGGGAAAGAUUUAUCGCCAUUGGAUUAGCCCGCGUUGGAUUAGGUAGUUGGUGGGGUAAUGGCCUACCAAGCCUACGAUCCAUAGCUGGUUUGAGAGGAUGAUCAGCAACACUGGGACUGAGACACGGCCCAGACUCCUACGGGAGGCAGCAGUGGGGAAUCUUCGGCAAUGGGCGCAAGCCUGACCGAGCCAUGCCGCGUGAGCGAUGAAGGCCUUAGGGUUGUAAAGC
rnacentral:rRNA from 1 species